AACCUUGCGCAGUGGCAAUAUCGUAACCAAUGAAGGUCUCCUGAGGUGCGAUUAUUGUUAGUUGAAAACUCGAGACCUGCAAAGCUAAUAUGCAUUGUGAUACUGGGUUCGAUUCCCCUGUCUUAGGCCUUGGAUUUUAUUUAAUGGUUAAUAAAAGAAAUUUACAGUAAAGUAUGUUUGCU
rnacentral:snRNA from 1 species